CUAACGCCUUGUACUCGGACGUCCAAAUUUACAAAAUCUAGAAUGAGUUAAUCCUUUUAGAAACGAUUCAAUCCAAAUUCAAAUGUUUUGAUGACAAAAACAACCCUCCUGUGAAAAUCCGGAGCAGUUUGUUCCUAGCUAAUUCAUUUCUUCACAUUUCUCUCUCCACAAAUUCAUUUAUGAACAAAUCUCAACAAGUUUUCAUAUGCAUCAACAUCAGCAGCGUUACAAUUCGUAAAUCGAUUUCAAUCACCAUCUUCGAAACCUAAGUUUGAGUACCAAUUAACACUUGAUUUAGCAAGAGACAUCAUCGACACUUGUUCUUGAAGAAUUAACUUGAAAUUGAUGUGGAAGGUUGAUGAAAUAACCAACAACGAUUGAAUCGUUAGAUUCAUCAACAAAAAUGUUUAGGAAUAACAAUUAUUGAUGGAAUCCUAAUUUUUUCUUCAUCUUCAUCAUCAAUUAGUCGUUGGUUUUAAUCUCCCAACAGACUAAGGAUUGUUGUUUUAGGUAGCUGAGGUUUGCACGCCACUAGCACAAUCCUUGAAUCUGUGAGCAGGGUUCCUCGUUAAGUCCUCCAAAUUUAGAAGAGAAAGUAUUGCAAUAUCAGGCAAGUGUACAAGGAAGCAGCAAAUUUUUUCUUUCUGUCACUUUCUGAUGCAUUGUAUCCAUUUUCCAAGGAGGAGCGGAGAUCCAACAUUCGAAGGGAACUAGAAAAUAUGCAAAUAAAUGAAGAUGACCUUUAACUACCUAUUGCUCGUAAUAAACUAGUACGGAGUGUUAAGGUGGAUAGUGGGAUUCCACUACAGUCAGUAGCAAAAGAUCAUACACGUGAAAGAUAGGGAUGGGGAUUCGGUGAAUGUAAAACCACAAGCUUGUAUCUUCAAGGUGGAAUCUGCUCCCUAGGAGUAUAUCACAUACAUAUUAGUGCCGACAUUUUAUAGCAUUUUAUAGUUUCAUGGUUUCAUGUCUAAACCACAAUAUUCUUAGUAUCUAAAUCUCUUUGAUGAUUUAUUUUCCAGUUCAUCUCUUUGAUAGUUAUACUAUUCCGCUUGUUCCUUUUCAUUGUGGUUUGCGUUAUUCACUUGUAGGACAAUAGUAACUGAUAGGCUCAUGGCAUUUGUUUUGGUUGCCCCGUCUUGUGCAACAUUUUUUUAGCCUCUGGGGUGAUUAUGUAAACCAACAAAUAUUAAUUUCACAAGCUUAAGUAUAACAUAAGGAUUCCACAUUGGAUGACUUUACUAAUUUACUAGAAAGGCAUCAACGAUGCUAUACUUCUAUAGUUAGUUUCAUACUUUUUAAGCUAACGUGUACAUAGUGAUAUUAGACGGGAUGGUCCAAAUCAUCCAAUUUAGAGUCUUUUUUCCACACAUGUUUUGGGUGUACAUAGUUGUACACUUGAUAAUUGAUAAUAUGUACAUAAUUGUACACAUGCUGAUUAUUAAUGUGCACAUACUUGUACACAUACAUAUUGAUUCUUGAUGCAUACAUGUACACAUACUUGAUGAUUGAUAAUGUGUAUCUAGUUGUACACAUGUUGAUUGAUAAUGUGUACAUAAAAAUACAUUGGCGACUACUACAAAGACCAGCGAGGAAGUAGAUGGAAAACCUGGUCCCAGUGCUUUGUAUGCCAGGGUCAACAUGGAUGGUGCCCCUUAUCUUGGAAGGUGAACUUGAGAACUUACUAAGAGUAUCAAGAGCUAUCUUUUUCUCUUGAAAAGAUGCUCUGCUGCUUUAUUAUUGGUAGAUUAUUUUGUAUUCCCGACUGCAAGAACCUUAAGAUGAAAUGACUUAUGCCUAUUAUUAAGUUAGAGACUUGGUAGUGUCUUGAAAGAUAUAAUGUAUAACACAGAAUCUAUGAAUGCAUGUUUGUACACGAAAGAUUUUAUUUUUAAGCUGUGGCAUAUGCUUGGUCCACUGUUGUUCAUUUUAUGUUUGGUCAUAAAACUAUCGUUAGCACGAUCUAAAACCUUUAUAGUAAAUAAAAAAAAAAGAAAACUUAUUAGUUGUGUGCAUCCUAUUCUUCCAAAGAUUCAUUUUAGGUAAAGAUUUGUUGUGUACGAUGUCAUUUCUUAAAAUGCCUUGCAGCCUAAUUUUAACCCGAGUUUAAUUUUUUUAUAUAUGGGAAGUGGAGUUCCCAUCUCUUUCAAUAAAAGUGUAUUGAAUAGAGCUCCAAAGGCAAAUAAGUUUUCUGAUUUAGCAUAUGAUGGGUUGGAUUUUCAAUGUGUACAUAAUUGUACACCUGUUCAUUUUCAAUGUGUACGUAAUUGUACACCUGUUGAUUAAUGACAUUGCUAUACAGAUGCAUCUUUGCUGCAAAUUCCAUUAUUGCAGGUGCCUCCUGCCUUCAUGAGCAACAGACUAUGAUGUGCACAAAGUUGUUUCAAUUUAACUUCUCACCUCAUUACAUUUCAUAUCAACACAUAGUUCACUUGAACAGACUCAUGUUACUAGUUGUAUUUCCAUUUUUAUAGAAUGUGUGCACGUAUAUUUUUUUGGUUUAGAGUGGCUUCAUUUCAUUUUCAGAUCAAGUUUGUUGUUUAAU